rnacentral:lncRNA from 10 species
GCAGAGAGGGAGACCGAAGGAGAGAGCGCAGAGAGGGAGAAUGUGUCUGCGCACAGCCAAAAUUGGUCAGAAAGGGGAGUAAAGUGGGACACGAGCUUCAAAGUAGGGAAACCAAAGAAGGGAGCAUCCACGUCCUCUCUCUGCAGCUUCUCCCCCGCGUUCUUCGGGCGAAUCCGAGGGACGGGCGCUGCGCUGGGGAAAGUUUGUCCCACCCGCGUUUCGCAGCUGGUUGCAAGGAGAGGAGGAGGAGAGGGAGGGUCAAGCUCGGAGCCUGUGACCGCACGGAUGAUCGAGCCGGCGUCGCGCUUACCUCGCAGUCCUCGUACUUGAUAUUAUCCGUCAAUUUCCAAAGCAUUUUCAUGGAUCGGCGUGAACGGAUAUGCCCCUCUCGGUCUCGCACCCAAGUGGAGCUACUCUCUGGCUCUUUACCAACAGCCUAAUCGCCUCAUUAGCAUAUCAACAAUAGUCCAAUUGCUCGCCAGUACCACAAUCUGCCGCCGGCCGCUCCGACACAGGUAUAAAGGCCUCUCUACGCCGCGAACUUGCUUCUAGAGCGCACUCCAGCCUGCGAACUGAUAAAACCUUCCUCGAGCUCCGCCGCGAGGCCCUGCCCCAACACCCCCUCUCUUACCCCAAUUCCGCCACAUUCCCCUUCCUUUCUUUCUCCGCUUCCUUUUCUCCAGAGAUGCCUUCUGCAAAGCCCGGCACUGCUCAAGGUCCAAGCGCCACGCCUGGGGCCCAGCUUCUAGCACUUCUCCCUUAACCCUGCUACCACGAUCCGAGCUGCCCUUUUGGCCCCGUGCAAUUUUAUUAGAAAUCAUUAUCCCUUUCGCAAUUAAACAUAACCACCAAACCAAGACCGGCGAAGUCACUCCAGGAUUUUUUCCCAACAAGGGAUCGCCUCCGCUCGAGGCAGCCACCCCCUCGGGCCGCAGCGCCUUGGGAGUUUUAUUGGCUUUGAGCUUUCCCCCAGGUUGGAGAUUCUGCCAAGCGGCUCCGGUGGCUCUGCUGGGGUUUGCAAUCCCUUAAUUGCAGCGUGUAAAAUAAAAGUUGUACCCUGAAGAGGUUACUUGACAGCUCCAGGGGUUAAACAAUUUUUCUCCUGUUUGUGUGAAGCUAGGGCCAACUGACAGUUCAAAUUGGUGUUCAGGCUAAGGUUUCCUGGGUGCAACGUGGACACGAAUACAGAACUCCUAUGGAACUGCACACCCGCUUCUGAAGUUGAGCCUAAAAACAGACGUGUGUGUGCCUGCAAGUCUAGAUACCGUCUCGUGCGUGCAUCAAAAUAAAUCACCGGGAACCGA